rnacentral:rRNA from 1 species
UACAGAGGGGGCGAGCGUUAUUCGGAAUUAUUGGGCGUAAAGGGCGCGUAGGCGGCUUUUCAAGUGACGGGUGAAAUCCCUCGGCUUAACCGGGGAACUGCCUGUCAGACUGGAAGGCUUGAGACCGGGAGAGGUGAGUGGAAUUCCCAGUGUAGCGGUGAAAUGCGUAGAUAUUGGGAGGAACACCAGUGGCGAAGGCGGCUCACUGGACCGGAACUGACGCUGAGGCGCGAAAGCGUGGGGAGCAAACAGG